AUGUACCAAAGGGACUAUUUAAGGUGUAUCAACACACAUAUAGAUAUGCCAACUGUUCCUAGCACAAAUGGCAAACGGUUUAAUGGUUGGUAUUCAAAAUUUUAAGUUUAAAAUCUAGUUGCUUAACAUUUUUAGCUAAAUUUAUUUUUUAAAAAAUAAACGAAAUGGAUAGAAUGCUAACUUUCUUUUUUUAAAAAAAAACAUACAUAGAUAUAUGUGACACCCUACUUCCUAAGAAGUCAUCCAUCCUAAAACUAUUAUAACUCUAGUAAUCUAUAACCCCUAUGAAAGUCCGUUCUCCUU
rnacentral:lncRNA from 1 species